UUAGAAUUGGCCUAGGGCCUCCAAAACCUUGGGUCCGGCUCUGAAAGCGGAUGCUUGAAUUGUGUAAAAUCAUCAUCUACAAACAUCCAUUCUUCCACCUUGGGAUAACCCGGAAUAAAGUGCUCAGAAACCAUUGCAAAGAUCUCUCUUAGUCCACCCUGAGAUGUGUUCUCCUCCUCACCCGUCAGUGCUGCUGCCACUCGGAUUGACAUAAGAGUGUCAAUUGGAGUAUUUGAGAAGGAGUAUGUAACACAAUAGCCCCACAACCUCUAUCAACCGAGGAGGAAGCUGAUCCUACACCCUCAAAAAGAAUUUAUAAGUCGUCAUCAAAGAAAAACAUAGCAAGAACAUCUCCCAGAGAAGAAGACAGGCAAAUCCAUUGGAAGAAGGUGCCUACUAGGUGUUCGACUGAUGCCCAACAAAGGAUGAAGACGUUGGAGGCUGCAAGGGCAUCCAAGCGUAGUCAAUUUUUCCUUCGUUGAUGAUGUGGAAAGGGGGUAGAGCUCCCUUCCUCAGAUUUGUUUCCUUUGUUAACUGAUGUGGCUUAAUAUAUUUGUAGGAUUUUUUUUUUUUUUUGAACCGCAUAUAUGUAGGAUAUGGAUGUUAUGAAAUUGUGUCAUUUGAACACUCUAGAGUCUAGACAUAUCUUCGAUUUGAACAUGGUUUUAUGAUAAAGUGUUGUUAACUUGCC